rnacentral:tRNA from 1 species
AAGGACUUAAGUUAAAUAAACUAAUAGCCUUCAAAGUUAUAAAUAAAAGGAGCCCUUUUAGGCCUUA